rnacentral:lncRNA from 1 species
UCGACUAAAAACAAAUCACAACGGACUGGGAAGAUUUUGGUUUCAUUUCUGCUGCAGUUACUAAUUAAUCCUGCAGAAGUAGAAACAGACCAAGGAGAGGGAGGUGGGAAGGAAGAGGCCUGAAGAGAGGAAAACCAGUUGUCAGCCGAGUCCUCACGGGAGUAACUCAGACAAAGGCCACACGACACUUUUAUUCCCCUCUGACAGACGAUCCUUCAGCAAGAACGAGUAAAAAUAAGACUGAGAUCUGUGGACGCCUCAUGCCCCUUGGAGGGGGGUACAUAUAAAUGGAGUCUCAGAGUCUCCACCGGUGAGUCACCAGUGCUAUUUUAGAAGGGCUUUGUCACAGGCAGUGGGAGGCAAAGAGGAGCAGGGGGGGUCUGACAGGAGAGGAAAGAGACCAGGUGGAAGGGAAGGGCGCUGGGUGGCACGGAGCCUGGCAGGGCUGAGAGGUGGGGCCUGGUGGGAGAGGCCGGGAGGCCCGAGACUCGCCUUCCUCUCCUGGGGAGGAGCCAGCCGGUGCCGGGCAGUGGAGGGUGGGAGGCCAGGGGAGGAAAUUCAGAGGAAUCUCAGGUAGGAGGAAGUUGUCCCCCGCCCCCAGAGAGACGUCAACCAACGUGUGUUGAUUUCUGGUCACGCUGUGGGCAGCUGCCAAGGCUGUGCGGCCACUUCCUUCCGAGGCCCCUGACUGCCCUCCCUGAGGCAGAAGUGCCGCAGGGGACGCUGGGGAGAAGCCUCACCUUCUAGAACAGCCCGGAGGACCGUGGAUGGCAGUGAUCUCGGCCAGUUCUAGCAGGGCCCUCCUCCUGCCCUGUCCCCAGGAGCCCCCGUCAUCUGCUCAGUGCAGGUCCGAGCGCCCCCACUCCGUAAGACUGGAGGGGUGGGCGCGGGGAGGGCUGGGGAGCAGAGUUCUGGCAAACCACCCACCACAGGUCAGGGGUGAGGGCUUUUCUAGAGCUUUCUCAGGCCCCUCGUGGGACUCUGCCCUGAACUGUGGGUCCUGGGGACCUUUCAUUGCUAGUCUUGUCUGCUGUGUGGCUGCCGCUCGGGCAACGGGGCCUGCAGGGCCGCCACUAACCAGUCGCUGAGUCGGCGCUGCUCAGAGGAGCACGAGGCACAGCCCUUGCCAUGCUGGUCGGCAGACAGUAGUUACAGGUGACGAUGCCCACCCAUGAGGACAUAGCAACAAAGAAGGCAGAGGUCCCCGAAGAUGGCCUGGUAAAUGGAAGGACGGAGAUGACAGCACAUUUCUUUCAGAGAAUCAGCUCCACGAGGCCGGGGGUGGCUGCCUGGCUGGGUUGGCUGAGCUCUGGGUUGCUUCCUGGCUCAGUGGGAAGGGCACUGGGCCUGCUCACUGGUCUUUGUCCUGGACAUCAAGCAGGCUGGUGGUGACCUGCACUCAGGUCAUUUGGUGACUUGGGUAGGGCUGGUGGUGCCUGGGUCUCAGAGAAGGUGCAGGUCACUGUGUGAGUUUGUGCCGUGGAUGAAGGGGUGUCGUCUGGCCCACGGAGGAUGAGCAGAUAGUAGCAAAUAGUAGGAGCCAUGUGAGCACAAGUCGCCGAAGUAGAAAGGCCAGGGCGGUUUGGUUAAGCUGCCCCUCCCACCAGACUCUAACUCCGUGUUGGCCAGGCCCGUGUUUGUUCUACCCAGGGCUGCACGGCAAUGCCUGGCGGAGAGCAGGGCACCAGGCAAACACUGCACAUGUGUCCUAGAGGAGUAAGGAGUGGCAGGAGAGUCGCCGUGACCGUCACACACCUGUGCCCACACCAGCGGCAACAGUGAGUCACAACACACUGUGCUCAUCCCGACUCUUCCUGGAGGCUGCAGGCCCCAGACCACAGCCAGGAGCACAGCGACCAGUCCUGCCCCUUGGCCUCCCCGGUGUGCUGCUGCAGCUCAGCUUCAGAAGAGCUUCGCUUCACCUCUGUGCGCUUUAUGAGAGAGCCAGCGGCUCUGCUGGGAUGGAGCACGUCCACAUGGAACGCGUGCAGAGGAAGAGAGGUCCUAGGUCCACGCCACGCCUCCCGCCCGACUAUCAGCCCUAGUACUCGUUGUUUUAUACAACAGGCAGAUUGAUUAUUAGUGGAACCUCAUCAGUACGCUCAUCAUUUCUGUGGCUAGUUUUCUCCCUUGACUGGGAUUCCCGGACUUAUUAGCACAUUACAGAACUCAAACUUUGUGGCCUGUUUGUUUGGAAGAAGUUAUCUUGGGCUUUGAGGAAUCAGAAUUAUUUAAAUAUUUUGAUUGACAACAACAAAGUAAUUUAAUAGCUACACCUCAUUCAGACCAACUGUCUUUUGACAUCUGUCAAGAAACCAGGUUUGCAUGUUAGAUUAUAAUUUGUGUUUGCAUGAUUAAAUGUCAGUGUACUCUAAAAGUUUACAUUCUGUACAGUAGAUUUGUGAUAUUUAAUAAGGAAGUCAUCAGAGAGGGAUUGCUUGGUGCAGCUGGGUUUGUUUCUUGGUCUGAGACUAGUUACAAAUGCAUGUUCAGAUCAUGAAAGUUCACCUGCUUGCUAACUGAUCAUAUGAACCCUUUAUAAUACAAAAUAUGGAAAAGAAUUCAUUUAAUUCAUCCUCUUUUUUCAUCGCAUCUAAGUCUGAAUUCGUUAAGAACACAGGAGAGUUAAACUUGACCACACUGAGGGGUAGCAGAUUAUCUUCAAAGUGAAAGAUUUAGGGUGACUAGAAGUGGGGAGGCUAGCUGAUUUCUGGUCACAUUCACUUUGAAAAAUCAAUUUCACAGAGUUGAUAGGAUUUAGAUCACACUUACCUGUGGAAUUCACAUAACAAAUAGCGCUGUAGGGAAAGGUGAGAGAUGAGAGGUUCGGGCACCUCUUUCCUUCUAGCCACGGAGGCGUUUCUCCACCUCCUGGGCAGUGACAGGAAGGCAGGUGGGCCAGCGGAGGAAAGUUGUACACACACCAAAAGCCCCCAGAACACCCUGCAGGCACGUUGUCCUGAUGCCCUGAAAAUAAGAACCCUUUUUUUAGGACAUUUUUCUUGCAUUGAUUUGCUAAAGUGUCACAGCAAAAGGCAGGAAGGCGGGAGGGUUCUAGUGUUUACAAAUGAAGACGGAGAGGCCAGCCGCUUGCUUGAGACCACAGAGCCCAGGGCAAGGGCAGCUGAGUCCCGGGCCUGGGCCCCUUCUCUCCUUGGUGUUCUUCGAGCACUCUGCAUUGAGCAUUUCUGAUCUUCAUCAUCAGAAAAGGUUCGAUAAGAGUCACCCACAAAGGGCACCCACAGAUCUUUACUGGGAACCUUGUCCACUGAUCGGUGAUCCCUUCCUCCCGCCAGGUCUCAGCUUUCUCAGAACUGGACGCGGAGGUCCCGCUGACUACCAGCAGAACUACAGAAACGCUGGCGUUGUUUUCUCCUGAGACAUUGGCAAACAGAGACAGGGUUUGAAGCCCUGAGGACCUGAGUGUGGCCCAGAAGUCAAGGGGUGAUGCUGGGGAGGCAAGUCACCCUCAGUCAGCACAGCCAGACCAAGGGCCUGUGAACAGACUGGGACAAUCCUAGGACAGUGUGCAGGGGCGAUGUGUUCCAGCUGCAGCUGCUAUUAAGAAAACGUGAUUUACUGUUUUAUGUGGAAAUACGGAGUUGCUCUUACGCUUCACUGAAAAGCAUCCACGAGCCAUGUCAAGGCGGGUACGCCGUGCCCCCUCUGCCAGGCAGUGUUGAGAUGACUCCAGAAGGAGCCUGAGGGAUUCCGUAUGCGUUUUCUGCAAGGAACUUAAAUCUGUUUUGUUAGGACAGCUGUAGAUGAAGAACAGAAAGGACUCUCUUCUAUGGCAGCUACCCUAGCAAGCCUGAAGAAUGGAACCAGCUUCCCCCAUCAGCCACGAUUCCGUCCGUCACAACUCUUCUUUUAAGCCUGGUGUUGGUUUGAGCCAGCCUGGGCUGGGGGUGGUGGGCUGCAGGGUAUUGCUCCCUCCCCAGGAGUCAGUGCAGGGACGGUUUCAGCCUAGUGCCAUCCAUCUCAUCCCUCACCUUCUGAAACUCAGGAGAGACGGCGGAGGGUAGCCUGGUUUGUCUUUCUGUGUAAUUGGCAAAAUCUUGGGGAAGCACCAGAGCAGCUAGCCCAGCUUCCUGGAUGUGUUUUGGAGAGGUACCUCACACCAUCGUGGCCCUGGGGGCCACCAUUCCCUUUUGUUCCUUUAUCUCUGGCACCAAUAUGCUCAGAAUGUCUUGGGUCACAACUGGGUCCACACUCCAUAAGUAAGUUGGGAAGAUAUCUAAAAUACACAAGAAGAGAUAGAAGAAAGGAAACUAAAACCAGCCUCUUGACAUUGAGUUGAGAUUAAAAUUUGCAAAUAAGCAUCCUGUACCCUUUCUGGAUUACAUUUUGUGUGUACAGAUUUUGAACACAAACACCAUUUUAAAAGUGUUGUCAUCUCCUGAUCACACAAAUAAAUCACACGCGCGGCUCUGACACUGUGCUUUAGGCUCUGGAGGAAGAGGGAGAUGGUGACAAAUGAAUAUCAUCUGUCUUUUAUGUUCCUACCCUUCUGAUCCUGAUGCUAAAUUAAAGAUGAGAGAUGAAAGGUUUGGGCUUCUCGUUCCUUCUAACCAAGGAGGCGUUUCUCCACCUCCUGGGCAGUGACAAGAAGCCAGGUGGGCCAGCGGAGGAAAGUUGUACACACACCAAAAGAAUUUAUCUAAGUGCAUGGAAUUUUCAAUUUUUCUGAGCUGUGUCUAUUUCGGGUUACAGAGUCUUGGGACUGGCUUCUCUGAUGGCUAGAGCCCGUGCUGGGAAGGCAAGACAGCGGCAGCAACGUCUCUUGUGUUUGCACGACACAGAUUUUGCUGACAUACCAAGAAUCAAGGGAUUCAAAAUCAUUAAGACCGUUACCUUUGAUUUAAAAUGAACAGAAUAACAAAGCUCUGUCGAGUGGACCUGUUUAGCCACUUUUCUUUGAUGCUGUCUUGAUGGAAUGAGUGUAGACUUCAGCUAUCAAGUGACUCACAGCUUUGGGACAGAGAGGCCCUGGCCUCAGGUUCUAGCCUGGAUAGUCGUUGGCUCUGUGACUAUUAAUAAAUUGCUUCAUUUCCUCCUCUGUAAAUAGCAUGGCCUGCCUUGCAUAAGGGAGCCAAAUGGCUCAGUGAUGAGCAAAGUAGAUACCAGAAGAUUGCCUUUCUAGAAGGGGCAGCAGUGGGAACGCACACUCUCUCGCACGCUCAGACCAGACUGUGCUGGGAGGUGGUGGAUACCAUCAAGAAACGUGCAGGAGGUUAUGGGAUAGGACGGGGCGUGUGGGGAGGGAUGCGUCAGGAUGUCUUCUCUGGUAAUCUCAUGGGCCAGAAGGAAGCCAGAGGGCUGUGCAGACACCUCACUGGAAGACAUCCCAGGGGCGAGGCAAGAAGGCCAGGGAGCCCACAGGGGCCUUGGGGCCACAGCGUGCUGUGAGUUUUCUUUGGAGUAGAAUGAGGAAGGGUUAGAGACGUUUGGGCAGAGCCAUGGUGUAAUUUGUUUUACAUCUUUAAAGAAUCCUUCUGCUAACUGUGGGGAGAACACAGUUCUAAGGGGUUAGGAGUGGCAACAGAGAUUCCACUUAAACUACUAACUAACGUAGGCAAGAAAUGGGAGUGACUGGGGUGGGUGGCAGCAGAAGCUUUGAAAAAUGAUCACAUUUGGGAUUUAUUUAUUUUUGUCCAUAUUUUAAAUAGUUUUGCUGAGGUAUAAUUUAUACAUCACAAAAAUUUAUCCAUUUAAAAAUAAAAAGAGCAUGUUUCCAGCAGAUUUAGAGUUGCACAAGCAUCACCACAGUCAUUUUAGGUCCCUUCCGUCACCCCCGAAGGCCCCUCACUCCCAUUGGCCUCCAGUCCCCCGCCAGCCCUGACCGGCUUUCCCUGGACACUUCACGCAGAGGGCUCCAGCCGUGCGGAGACCUCGAGUCCUGCUCCUUCCGUUGGCGUUGCAUUUUGAGGUUCAUCCAGAUCAUGGCGCAGAGCAGUCGCGCACUCCUGUGUCUGAGUGGCACCGCAGCUGAGUUCUCCAGACGCGUUUGCUCUUCACCAGCUGGUGGACAUUAGAUGGCCGUGCUCUGCGUCUGAGGUGAACAGUGCCGUGUGAGUCUCACCUGCAAGUCUGUGGGGACGUCCUCACUCUCCUUGGGUGGAGACCUGAGGCUCCCUGUGCGGGCGUGUUCUCUUCUUAAGGAACUGGAAACCUGUUUUCCAAAGUGACUGCACCAUCUUAUGUCAGCAUUCAGCAGUGUGAGUGUUUGGGUUUCUCCAGACCCUUCUCCAAGCCAGCCAAAGGAGCCUGUGGAAGGAGCGUGGACGAUGGAUCCAGUGCAAACCUGAAGAAGGCCGAAUUCGCACAGAGGGGUUUUGUGGGCUGGGAGGUUUUGAGGAGGCUUGCUUCUGACUGAUCUUUUACUCAAGGUCAUCAGCUGAGGGUGGAAAAGAAGAUAGAAAGGUGUUGUCAGUUUGGAAAGAGAGAAGAAAGCAAGAAACGGAAAUCUACAAAAAUAUCUGAGCUGUUCAACUUGAGAACCUGGUUAGCCUGAAGGAGGGAGGGAGGGAGCAGCAAAGGCGUUUUGUUGUAGCGAGGGCACUGGUGACGAUGGAUCCCAGGGACCAUGAGGGAGAGACAGUAGUGCAGGGUGGCAGGGUCACCGUGUUGGGGUUACAGUGGGGUUGAAGAGCUGUUGGAUCAGGGUACUAGAAGUAGGACAUGCAGAGGCAGGCGUGUGGAGGGAGCCCAGGUGACAGACGGGUGAUAGACAGGGUGCCACAUUGUGGUGACGACGUUGCAUUGGCCACAGAGGUAAAGGUCUAAGGUCGAGGUCAUCAGCCCAAUAUUUGAAAAUACAGACUUCCACGGGUGGGUAUGGUAAUCGGCAAGAUCGACAGCAGGAGCACUGUCCGAGGCAAGCCGGGGGCUGCUCAGCUCACAGGUGAGCACCCCCACAGUCUUCAACAGUGUUCACUGAGCGACCUAAAACGCCAUUUCCUGGGUGUUACACACGGGGACAGACGUUGGUUCGUGUUGUUCUGUGCUGUGGCCGAGGACUUGGUGCUGUCCGCGUGAAGUUGUGUCUGGUAGAGGGCCAGGUGUCCAGGACAGCAUACACUGCUGCUAUGCUCUCCAGGUCCCAGCUGCACCGCCUUGUGGUCCCAACACUGUCCCAUGGGCCGGUGCUGGCUCUGACCCCUCUCCUAAGCACCCUGCAGCUCCUCCAGGGCCCUUGCACAGCGCCUUGCACAGCUCGGGAACCAGGAGGGCACAGGGGGGCCACUGGGCCCCGUGAGAAGCCCACAGCCCUUCCUCCUGGGCUCAGGGUAUAGACUCCUGCAUCAGGCGCGGUGCUAAGCCAAGCCCAUGCAUCAGGAGUCAGGAAGAGCACGGAGGCCAGGACCCAGCCCCACUCGGAGGCCUGCUGGGGGUGCUGCUCAACAGAGUCCCCUCCUCCUUGUAAGACUCUGACCUGCAGCUCUGCAGUCCUCACUACCCCCUGACUUCAGUGACAGCCUUGGCCCCAUGCCCCCCACAGCAGGAGUGUCCUUCAACAGCCUCCCGUGCAGCUUGGUGCCCCUUAUAGACAGUGUCCGUGUUCCCCUCCUGCUCCAGGUCCUCCUGUUGGCCCUGCCUCAGGGUCACUGGAUUCCCAGGGGCUUGGUGGAGGGAGCUGUCACCUCCACAGGUGCCCCCUCCAGAUGCCCCAGCCAUUCUGCCUCUGUGCCAUCACACGGCACGGCAGGCUGUGCCAAAUGCAAACCCACAGCUGGUGAAACAUCUGCAAACCAGCAGAAGCACCUUUGGAGAGAGUGUGGAACCGAGGAGCACUCUAUCUGGGCUCUGGGGACUGGACCGGGCUGGACCCCGGCUCUUCAGUCUGAGAUAAACCCUAGAUGCCAUUCAGUCUUCUCAUUUUCACACUCCUAGAAUGUUCUGUGCAUCCUGCCACAAUUAUUAAAGAACAUGUGGUUUCAAAGUAUUACCUUUUCCUCACAGGCACUGACAAAUGUCUUUCCCUCCCCCAAGACACAAAGGUAAAAUUAUAAUUGUGAAAUUAAACCUUGAGGACACACCAAAGUAAAAAAACAAAAAAACAAAAAACAAAACAAAACCCGGUGAAAUUCACCAAUAAUCCUACCAACCAGAUCAUGGAGUUGUUGAUAUUUCUAUUUGCUUCCUCCUCAGGCCUGUGUGAUUUCCUCGAAAUAGAAUUGGGACAGUAGCUUCCCCACUGCCCAGAUUAUCCACAGGGAGAACUGCUCCAAAAGCCCAGUGGCUGACUAACUUGCAGUAGUACUGCAUCUUAUCAACAAGCACUGCAAUACCACAAUAGUGGAUCUGAUAAUCAAGAUGGCUGCCUGGUGACCAAGAGGAGGGGGUAGUGUAUACAGUGAGGAUACACUGGACAAAGGGAUGAUUCCUAUGCCAGGCAGGUUAUAGGGGAAUGCUGUGAGAUUUCAACUUGCUACUCAGAAUGGUGCACUAUUUAAAAUUUAUACAUUGUCUAUUUCAGAAAUUUUCUAUUUAAUUGUUUCAGGCUGAUUGUGUGUAAUUGAAAAUGUGGUAAGCAAAACUAGAUAACAGGGACUGCUGUGAUUUUUUUUUAACUCUAAAAAAAUCCACUAGAGAUUUCUUAAAGAUCUUAUUACUGAUUAGUUUGAAAGAAAAAAAGACAAAAUAAAAUUAUAGCUAAUACAAAUCAUCUCCUAUUUCUGAUUUUUUUUGAAGCAACCUCUUUCAGAGCCUGACCCUCCCAGUCUAUAGUCCUAUUUAUAAUCACAAGAAAAAGAAAAGCAAUAAAACAAAAGAUGUGAGCUGACAUUUCCAAUUUUUGUCCUGCCUCAAUGUAGUGGGAUCCCUUUGCCUCCCUUCAGUGAGUAGUGGCCAGGUGCUAUGAUUGGUAGGUUCCCUUAGGACCCUGAGAUGUUGGGGAAAGGGCCAAAUCAUAAAUGCCACUCCAUAAUUCUGGUGUUGGAGAUAUUUUUUAUCUCCCCCCAGAAGAUGUCUGCAAAAUUGUUUGUGGGUGAUUUGAGCUGAGCUCUCCAACUCCUUUUUCA